AGUUAUCGUGUGGCGGGAGGAACUACUUCCUCUUGUUUGUGAAACUUCUGGGUGUAAGAUAAGGUGUUGUCCAUUUGCUAAUCAGAGAAGAAUGUGUUCUCCAGCGUGGCGGUUGUCCAUGAUCUUUCUACGCAAAAACCAGCUGAUGACAUCCUCCUCGCCCAGGCGUUGCCGUGGAUACGAACGACACCAGAUAAGGAGCGGAAAGUUACUUUCCCAGCCCAAGACCAGACUGGGGGGGCUUAGCCACUUUUACCAUGGACCCAUACAUAUAAAACCUUGUGUUACCGGGCAGCUUUUCUCUUCUUUUUUGGGCAAUACUGCCAGAAGACACACCUCGUGUGCGGCAGAUACGUAGACAAGACCCGGACCUCUGUAUUGUACAUUCCUUUGUAAUAAAUGCAUUUGCUGUUAAAUAAUCUAAACAUUGGUCAUCUCUUCCUCGAUCCAUGAACACGCAUAGGGUCCAACUCGCAAAUCCCUGUAAUUUCUUGGUGACUCCGACUAUACCUGUCGACCUGGUAUUGGCCAUCGACAGAUGACAUUUUUUGUAGACAUAUGAGAAACACAGGAGUGUUUUAUGGACAAGUCGAGGGUGAUCGUCUGUAUUUCUGACUUCUCCAGGUCGCGACCUACAUAAAACCAAAGGUAAGUAGAAACCUGUUACUGAAUGUCGAAUUCUGCAUAUUGAACUGCCUAAAUUUGAGAAGUCAUUGUUAUGAGAUUGUUCAUGCCUCAUAGGAAUUAUUGAAUAUGUGAUGAUAAAGAAGUGAGAACCUGUAUAUCCUGUCGUAACUGACGUAUAUUGUAGAUGUAUAAUUACACUGUGAGGUUUACCUGUUACACCUAAGGGGGAUAGGAUCCCUUAAAAACAGAGGGUAUGUCGUGGUUUGAGCCUGGGAUGUCACAAGGUGACGUACGAAAAAACUAAAUAGUAUAGAAGUACUAGUUUGUUGCGCGAUAGGAAUUCAAUUGGGCUUAGUCGAAAAAGAGUGACCACUAAAUUGAAAUGUACAUUGAAAUUGAGCGGCAAAUGAUGGCUAAUGUUGACAAAAGGAAACGAGAUGAAGAAAGGAAGCACGCAUUAAACUAAUGGCAAAAGUACAAUUUGGGUAAACUUCAUGAUUUGGACAAAUUGACGAAGAAGUUACAGGAAAUUGACAGAGACUAUGUAAAAUAGGUGAAAAAUGUGAAGGACAGAUUAGACAAGGGCUCAUGGAAAGAAAAGAGGAAGUGUAAGAAGGAACGUAAAGAGGUGGACGGAGAAAGGCACACUACACAUUUAAUGACGGCGAUGGCAACGUUGAAGAAAAAUGGUAAUGGUAAGUUGAACAAAGGUAAAGUAAGCAAAGAAACAUGUUAAAAGUAAGUUGAAUGAAGGUAAAGUCAGGAAAGAAGAUGGUACAGUUACUCCCGGACUGGCGCCGACUGUGCUGCUGUAUCCAACACUCUCUUCGCCCUAUGCGGGCGAGAUGGAUGUUGGAACGGGACCAGGAAACUACCCGAUGGUGAGAAUCACUGGUAAGGUGGCAUGUGACGUUGAGGUCAUCAAGGACCCCAUGACAGGGGAAGAAAAGAUAGGGGUGAGAAAAGCUGUAUUUGAUAUGUGGACACAAGUAAAUGGGACUAGAAAUGAGGAAGGAGGCACCUCAAACACGCACACAUGCACGCGCUCUGAACCACAUGUAAAUACACGACACACGCACAGACACAGAGGAAGCAAGAGGCACUGAAGGUGGGGUUGGUGAAAGCGAUCUUAUUGACUUGACGGGAAGCAUCCUCUCAGAGGCGGAAAUAACACGACGACUAUUAUAUUAUUAUUAUUAGAUAUUACAUUAUAUUUAUUACAUUAUAUAACAAGCAAACAAAAUGCUACAGGGUUGAAAACUAUUUUUUCUUUUUUUUUAAGAAUAUAUCCAGUUUUUGAAUAUAUUACUUGCACUGUAUGUGGUUUAAUUGUCUUUUUUUUUUAAGAUUGUGUUUGUCAUUUUUAUUGUUUUUAUCCAGUUUAAAAUGUUUUAGCUCUUUGUUUUCAAAUGCCUUUAAACAUGUAAAGCACAUUGAGUUACUGUACCUUGUGUAUGAAAUGUGCAAUACAAAUAAAUUUGCUUUGCUUUACAAUGAUGCCUAUGAUAGAGGGUCCGGCAGCCGUUUGAGCUUAAAGAUGUUGAUUGUCUUACUGCUCGCUUGCCUCGUCACUCUUCUGGUGGUAAUGCAUGCCUGUCAAGUUUUGUGGGAACUUUACAGGGGUAUACACUCUGCAUGGGAGACUGGAGAAAAGCAGCAUCUAGGUCAUGCACUAGUAUUGAACAAUGAGAAAUCGAGACAGCUGCAGGCACACUUCACAUACCCAAUUGAACCAUAUUGAGAGCACACUUCGAACGUCUGGCUGCAAGCUGUCAGAGAGAGGUUCCCUACUCCUGUUACAGCCACUUGAGCACUUGAUAAGUGCACUAAACUGUGGACUGAAUCGACUGCACGUCACCCUGGACAGUCUGGUUCAGAGGAGGCUAUGUUCAGGACUGUGAUUCUGGCAGGUCUCCCUGAACCAGUACAGACCACUCUUAUAGCUGACCUCCUGAUGGAGAUGAACCUAGAUUUAGACGACACUUAGUGAAUCACCUCAAAAUUUAUUAAAGCCAACAACAGGGUAAGGAUAAUGAAAUUACUAAACUCCAAAAACAACUUCUUAAAUUACACGUAGCACAGGCAAGAAGGCAGAUAAGAAGGAAAAGUCCCAAACCACAACAGACGUAAUUUUUUGGCAGGCACAACCACCUAGACAGGCAGGUGGGUUCCAGGGUGGAUACAUAGGAAGGCGUAGAGGGGGCCGGGGGAGAGUGCAACAACAUCAACGUGAUCAAGGAUGUUUUGGUUGUGGUUCUCCCUAUCACUAGAUUAAAGAUUGUGAUACAGGUCCUCCACCUCGAGGUCGAAUGCAAGGGCAUGGUGGCUGAUUCAACAACCAAGGGGGCCAAGGCAGAGGCAGAAAUGACAGUUUUGGUGGCCCAUCUUGGCAGCAGAAUGGACAGCAGCAGUUUGGACGGUACCACUGGGGUGCCCGGGAAGCCAGGGGUCCGGCGAUGCAGGUGGCAUGAACCCCAUCUGCGUUGCGGGGCGAAAAGUGAACACAGGGGCACCACACUCCUCACUCAACAUCUCGCUCCCAGACACUUUAUUGUCACAACACACUGUGCAAUUGAUGGGCUUCUCAGGGACUCAAGAGGCCGUGUCAUAGACUCAACCCCUACCCACAAUCUUGGCUGGACAGACCUUCCACCAUUUGUUUGUACAUCCACCGCAAACACCAGUGAACUUGUCAGGACGUGACCUAUUGAUUGAGGCACAUGCCUCCAUCUUGUGUGGCUCUGAAGGACUUUCCAUCCCAAAUGGACAGAUAUUGCCAGCAGCUGACACCGUCUGCCACUCUGGACAAUGGUUUAUGGCACCUGAGAGCGAACCAACUCCAACUGUGGACAUUUAUUGGGCCCGACUUGAACUAGAAACACCGCUCAAACCUGAUCUCAUACAUCAAUUUCUGUUGUGGAAGCCCUGCUUAAACACUCUUGGGGCUUACCUGCCUCCACCUAGACCCAUACCAUUGCACAUUAUAUUAUGAUCGGAACCACGAUUUAGUAUACAUGGAAAACGUUGCAUGCAUACAAGGUGAUACUUUGGUCAUUACAUCCACACAUAUAUACAUAGUGAGAGAGGGUGUUGUAGCAUGCUGCUUUCUAACACCAGAUUAAAUGACACGGUUCAAAAUGCAGGAAGGGUCAGUACCCCACAUUUCACUCGCUCUGUCUCCAGGAAACAAGUUCUGGCAGCUGGGACCUAUGGUGAAAUUACUGCUGCUCCAAAUCUGCAGAUGCAUACCGCAUCCUUGUUGCUGAUGCACCUCCGACAACUAAUAUGACCUUAUUAGAACAUGAGACCCUAAUUAGAGAACACGGACGUGACUGUUCUGACCAUGGCGACGCUGAGUCAAUGUUAAACGAACUGCCUAAAUCAGUUUGGUCCUCUGGACCCUUUGAUGUUGGACAUGGUACUAAGACACCAGACAUUAAAGUCACUUUUUUUUCCAGGAUCUCAUGUUUACAGACCUCAAUAUAUUUGGUCCGCGGCUGCUCACCAGGUGAUGGAGGAGACUCUCACUGGCCUGUGGAAUUCUGGAGUCAUGGAAACCAUCCACCUCCUCGUGGUGUACAACACUCACUCCGGUUCUAAAAGCAGAUGGUAACACUUAUUGUAUGGUGCAUGAUUUGAGAGCAGUUAAUGAUGUAACGACCACACCAUUGUUACCUGUACCAAACCCCCAUGGAAUGUUUUCUACCAUCACACUUGAUUUGAAAUACUUCACAGCAAUUGAUAUCAUGGACACAAUUUGCAAUACACCAGGUUGCCACAAUGCUUCAAAAAUUCACUUGGAAUUUUCAAUCAAUGUUUGAAAUCAUUGCUGCAGGAUCUAGAAUUGCCAGACGGAUGUAAACUCCUGAUGUACGUUGAUGAUCUCCUGUUGGCAGCCCCAACAGCAAAGUCGUGUUUGUCUCUAACUAAACUUGUUUUCCUCCAUUUGCAUGAGCUGGGAUUCAAAGCCUUCAGGAAGAAGCUUCAGUGUUGUCACAAACUGGUGAACUUCUUGGGCAGAGUAGUGUCCUAUGAAGGAUCCAUUAUGUCCUCGGAGCAUCAUUCUUCUAUUCUAGAGCACAAACGUCCUGACACGGUGAAGGAGAUCCUUCGUUUUCUUGGUUUGUGCAGCUACAGCAGACACUAUCUUUCAUGCUUUGCAGAUCAUACCGCUACCCUCGGACACAUGGUGAAAGACCAAGGUUACAGAAACCUUGCUGCCAAAUUGGAGUGGUCAGCAGAGUUAGACUCAGUCCAUACCACCCUUGUACAUGAUCUCGCAUCGGCUGCAUUUCUGGCUGCUCCGAAUUACACCAUCCCAUUUCACUUAGAUGUUACUGUCACACCUACCAUUGUGAAUGCUCCUUUAUAUCAGAAGAGGAAUGGAAAGCGUCAUGUCCUGAUGUAUUGUAGCAUUCCACUUGAGGCCAAAAGCCCUGAAUGCACUUGGUUUGCAGCCGGGAUUGCCAAAGUUAUUCAAAAAACGCACACAUGGUACUGUAAUAUCCCCUUGUGAUCUUUACUGACCACUCGGUGACAGCCUAUGUUGCCUCAUCAGCAUUCACACUAUCUUCUCUUAGGCAAACAUGCCUGUUGAAAAUUCUCACGGCACCAAACAUCACAUAUGUCUACAUCGGCAUUAACAUGACUGAUGAAUUGCAUGUAGACACACGCUGCUGUGAAAUUGCUGUGACUGAUUCUCUUCGUCCAUGUGCUGAUCUCUUUGUGCAAACUUUCAGGGUUCUCUUCACUGAUGGUUGCUGUUACCGUAAGCCGAAUGGUUCUUUGGCUGCGGCAGCCGCCGUAGUGGAGCAGCAGCCCUCAGGUGAAUUUUUAACUGUUUCCUCUUCCGUACUAACAUCUGCUCCCUCAGCCCAGGCAGCGGAAGUGCUCGCACUCUGUCUCACACUGGAACUGGCGGCCGGACAAUCUGUCACUGUCUAUUCUGACUCAGUUUACAGUGUCUCGGCUGCUGUAUGGGACCUGUCUGCAUGGAAACGGAAUGACUUUAAAACAGCCAAAGGUACUCCUAUGGCAAAUUUGACAUUGAUCCAGCGAUUAGACAAAGCCCUGGCCAAACUGUCGGCGGUGGCUCUUGUUAUGGUCCCUGGUCACUCCAAAUCCACUUCAACCAAGGUCCUCGGCAAUAAUGCUGCCGACUUGGCUGCCAAGCAGGCUGCGGGCUAUGUCCCACAGAUGCUUGUUCAGUUAUCUGACAAAUCCACUCCUGACCUGCCCGAACCUCUGUUUCAUAGUGAAUUGGUUAAAAUACAACACAACGUCUCUCCUGAACAAAAGACUAUGUGGCGUGCUGGAGGAGCCACCCGUGCCCCUGACGGUCUCUGGUUAGGCCCUUAUGGCCAGCCAGUGUUACCUGAUAGACCUUUACCCCGUGAUAUUUUGACCGAAACUCACUCUAUGGCUCAUAAUGGUUCCAGACCCAUGCUAACCAAACUUCGCAUGUGAUCCUAAAAUGUGUGAUUUGUGACACGCCCACUGUUGUGACUGUAAUUUUUGCCAGCUACACAAUGUUCGCCCCACCCUUACACUGUUGCCAGGGUCAUUUGACCCACCCACCUGGCCCGGUGCUGAACUGGUCAUGGAUUUCACAGACAUGAUCACUCCUGUUCAAGGUAAGUGCUACCUUCUUGGGUUUUUUUUACACCUUUUUCCAGAUGGCCUGAAGCCUAUCCCUGCGCUCGGGAAGAAGCCAUAUCGUUAAUGAAAGCUUUGAUGAACCACUGGAUUCCAACGGUUUCCCCGCUCUCAUCCACUCGGACAACGGUACACAUUUCACAUCCACACAUCUAGCUACUGUAGAGAUGUGGUGAGGGUUAACUCACAAGUUUGGUUGUGUUCAUCACCCCACCAGUCAAGGUUCGGUUGAACGUAUGAAACGCACGUUGAAGGAAAAAAAUGGCUAAAAUAUGUACCUCUUCUGGCAUGAACUGGGUUCAGGUUCUCCCCCUUGCUCUUAUGAGUAUGACACAAACUGUGUCUCGCUCUACUGGUUUCUCCCCAUACAAACUUCUUACAGGUCGUCUGAUGCCUGGCCCUUCCUCCUCACUUCAAACACUGGAGGAAGGCGUUGUGUCUCCCAAGUUUUCUCAUAAACUCUUUUUGACAGAACUGCAUUCUUUUGCAUCUAAUUUCUCUUCACAGAUCCAGAACUCUCAUCCAUCACCACCUCCUCCACUUGAUCUACCUGAGUGGUCAUCUGUCUACCUUAAACUACCCCGUUGGUCUGGCCCACACAAGGUAAUGGUGCCCCAAUUCGCAAUAUCUCUGAUGAUCAGUGUGCAGAGACCCAGGAAACACCGUUCUUUCGACCAGUCAACUGUGCUGAUGUGUAGUGGUGGUGUGGAGGAUGAUCUGCCAGUUGCUCCUGAACACUUCAAGGAAGCUCUUGGCCUACACCGCUCACAUAGGUCCAAACCUACCUGGCUCGUUGAGGACGAACCCACCUAUAUUGACGCCAUUGGCGUCCCCCGUGGUGUCCCAGAUUAGUAUAAACUGGUUGAUCAGAUAGUUGCCGGUUUCGAAAAUAUACCUGUAAUUUCCGCUGUGUUCCCCGUAACUCCAAACAAAAAUUUCCACCGUAUCAAUUACAUGCAUUAUAAUGUGGAACGUUGAGGCAAUUACACCCUUGAAGGACUUGAAGCUCUAAUGAGCAACUUAAGGCUACAUCUUUUAUGGCUUUCCAAAAUAGAAUUGCAUUAGAUGCAAUGUUGGCCGAGAAAGGAGGUGUUUGCCGAAUAACACCCAAGACCAGACUGGGGGGGAGGGGCGGGCAGCUACCUUCACCAUGGACCCAUACAUUUAAAAACCUUGAGUUACCGGGCAGCUUUUGGCUUCUUUUUUGGGCAAUCCUGCCAGAAGACACAAGUCUCGUGUGUGCCAGAUACCUAGGUAAGACACAGAUGUCUGUAUUACACAUUCAUUUGUAAUAAAUCAAUUUGCUGUUAACUCGUCUAAUCAUUGGACAACUCUUCCUCGAUCCGUGAACACGCGUAAGGUCCAACUUGCAAAUCCCUACAGUCUAACGUCAUUCGUCAACCCAUCGAUUACAAAAGCAAACAGGAAGGGGCUCAGAGCUGCUCCUGAUGCAGUUUCACCUCCACCUUAAAUUCUCCUGUUGUCAUGCUCCUGGCUUCCUGCCCAGGCUGGCGUGGCCAGCCAAUCAGUCAGAGCACACCUGCACCGUGUUACAGUUGAUGACGCCCAGUAUAGAUAGGACUUGGGGGACGACUUGUCCUCCGCUAGAUUGUCGCCCUUGAUGCCUCGUUCCCGCACUCCUGUUUGCCUGACUCCGGCUCUCCGUGUACCGACCCACGCCUGUCCACUGACCACCCUUGUAAGCCUGCUGUACUAUUACUUCUGACUGUUUGGACUGUCUGCCUGAUCCCAGACCUUGCACCGAAUAAAGGUUUCCUCUGCACUGUCUGCUUGUCUCUUGAGUCGUGCAUUUGGGUCCACCCUCGAGCCCCGUUCGUGACAGAACGAUCUAGCCAUAACAUGGACCCAGCCGAUUCCGAAGCCAUCCGCUGU